CGCUGGCGAACCUGCGGAUAUGCAUAUCGAUAAGCGGAGGAAGCUUCCGUGGGUGAACGUGCGGAUCUACAUAUCAAUAAGCGGAGUAAUUCUCCAUCGGCGAACUGGAAAAACUUAAAAAUAAAAACGCUAAACAACGCACCCCUUGGGUUCUGGAAUUGCAUAAAGAACGCACCAAAAUGCAAUAAGUCGGGUGAAUUGGAGAAUUCAGUGAAUCAUCGAAUCUUUGAACGCACAUUGCGCCCCCUUGGAAUUCCAUGGGGCAUGCUUGUUUCGAGCGUCAUUUGUACCCUUCAAGCGUUUGCUUGGUUGUUGGGUGUUUUGUCCUCUCCAUUGGUGUUUGGCACUCGCCUUUACAACAAUUGGCAGCCAGGUGUUUUUGGAUAUUGAAAGCGCAGCACAAGUUGGCGAUUUCUGACCCUAGUAACCACUUGCCCUCCACCAGGUCUUUUUUAACUUUUUGACCUUCGGAUUCAGGUAGGGAAUACCCCGCUUGAACUUUAAGCAUUAUCAAUUAAGCCGGAAGGAAACUUUCCGCUUA
rnacentral:rRNA from 1 species